rnacentral:rRNA from 1 species
CCUACGGGGGGCUGCAGUGAGGAAUAUUGGUCAAUGGACGAGAGUCUGAACCAGCCAAGUAGCGUGAAGGAUGACUGCCCUAUGGGUUGUAAACUUCUUUUAUAUGGGAAUAAAACGUUCCACGUGUGGGAUUUUGUAUGUACCAUAUGAAUAAGGAUCGGCUAACUCCGUGCCAGCAGCCGCGGUAAUACGGAGGAUCCGAGCGUUAUCCGGAUUUAUUGGGUUUAAAGGGAGCGUGGGUGGAUUGUUAAGUCAGUUGUGAAAGUUUGCGGCUCAACCGUAAAAUUGCAGUUGAAACUGGCAGUCUUGAGUACAGUAGAGGUGGGCGGAAUUCGUGGUGUAGCGGUGAAAUGCUUAGAUAUCAUGAAGAACUCCGAUUGCGAAGGCAGUUCACUGGACUGCAACUGACACUGAGGCUCGAAAGUGUGGGUAUCAAACAGGAUUAGAUACCCGAGUAGUC